rnacentral:misc_RNA from 1 species
AAAUGUUGGGAGAUGGAAAAAAUAGGUUUUUGGGAGAGGGUGGGGGUGUGUGCGUUUUGCCUAAUAUUAUCACGAUGGCCUCGAGGGUUUUUGGGUGGGAACGAGGGGAUGACAAAUUUUUGAUGUUAUUAAAUUUCCUUUUUAAAAACGUCUAUUGGGUAAGUAUCCCAUGCAUUCAUAACCUUCACAUCCUUUCCUUGCAACUUCAUCAGCGACCCUUUAUAUUGCUU